rnacentral:pre_miRNA from 1 species
UUCAAGUAAUCCAGGAUAGGCUGUGUGCAAUCUAAUUGGCCUAUUCUUGAUUACUUGCACU